rnacentral:rRNA from 1 species
CUUUACUAUACGCUGACAUUGCCUUGUUCGUUAGCGUGCGCAGGAUAGGUGGGACCCUUUGAAGCCGCGGCCUAGGCUGCGGUGGAGGGGCCGUUGAGAUACCACCCUCGCGUACGGACGAUGCUCACCGUGACUCUGAAACGGAGCACGGGACAGUGUUUGCUGGGUAGUUUAACUGGGGCGGUUGCCUCCUAAAGUGUAACGGAGGCGCGCAAAGGUCCACUACUAUCGGAUGGAAAUCGAUAGAGUCGUGUAAUCGCACAAGUGGGCCUGACUGUGAGGCUGACAGGCCGAGCAGGGACGAAAGUCGGUGAUAGUGAUCCGGCAACCUGAGUAUAUUUAUAUGCUCUCACCACGUGGGUGGGU